rnacentral:rRNA from 1 species
UCGGAGAGUUUGAUCCUGGCUCAGGAUGAACGCUGGCGGCGUGCCUAAUACAUGCAAGUCGAGCGAAUUGAUUAGAAGCUUGCUUCUAUGACGUUAGCGGCGGACGGGUGAGUAACACGUGGGCAACCUGCCUGUAAGACUGGGAUAACUUCGGGAAACCGAAGCUAAUACCGGAUAGGAUCUUCUCCUUCAUGGGAGAUGAUUGAAAGAUGGUUUCGGCUAUCA